GUUCUUCUCUCUACCUGCAAGGGGAGGCUUGCCUCAUGGUGGUCGUGGCCUUUUUACCCUGGUCGAGGAACUUUAGAGUUCUAAGUUCAGCUAGGGUUUGUGUUCUAAAUGUAUAUGGAGUACUUGGGGGCAAAAACAACUGAGAAGAUUGGAACUAAGAGUUGAUUUCCAUUUAUUACUUGACUGUUGCCUUUUGCAAGUCAAUGUUUUACUUCAAGCAUGGACAAAGCUCUCUGACGAUUGAACUCUGCUGUGGAUCAUCUUGCCACUUAAAGUACUUUUUUCUCUAUUCAUAUUCAACAAAGACUAAAAAAAGCUUAUGGUCCUAAUUGAUGAGAAACCAAGGACUGUGCUUUAUGUGAUGGACUGUAUUUCUUAUCCUAUCCUCGGUUCUGUUUUAUGUUGAUUUCUAUCCGGUUGAAUAAUGAAGUUUUGUGUGACUAUGUUUAAUACAUUUGACCCAUGAGUGA